rnacentral:rRNA from 1 species
CUGGAGGCGAGCUUGAGUACCACGGGGCACGAAGAACCCUGUGGGAAGCAGGGGGGACCACCCUCCAAGGCUAAAUACUCGAGACGACCGAUAGUGAACCAGUACCGUGAGGGAAAGGUGAAAAGCACCCCGGAAGGGGAGUGAAAGAGAACCUGAAACCGUGUGCCUACAACCGGUCAAAGCCCCUUAUGAGGGUGAUGACGUGCUUUUUGUAGAACGAGCCAACGAGUUACGGUAUGUAGCAAGGUUAAGUACUUAAGGUACGGAGCCGAAGGGAAACCGAGUCUUAAUAGGGCGACUAGUUGCAUGCCGUAGACCCGAAACCGGGUGACCUAUCCAUGGGCAGGAUGAAGCGGAAGUAAAAUUUCGUGGAGGUCCGAACUCAUUAGUGUUGAAAAACUACGGGAUGACCUGUGGAUAGCGGAGAAAUUCCAAUCGAACUCGGAGAUAGCUGGUUCUCCCCGAAAUGCAUUUAGGUGCAGCGUUGCGUGUUUCGUGCCGGAGGUAGAGCACUGGAUAGGCGAUGGGCCCCACCGGGUUACUGACCUUAGCCAAACUCCGAAUGCCGGUAAGUGAGAGCAUGGCAGUGAGACUGCGGGGGAUAAGCUCCGUAGUCGAGAGGGAAACAGCCCAGAACAUCAGCUAAGGCCCCUAAGCGUGUGCUAAGUGGGGAAGGAUGUGGAGUUGCACAGACAACCAGGAGGUUGGCUUGGAGGCAGCCAUCCUUGAAAGAGUGCGUAAUAGCUCACUGGUCAAGUGAUUCCGCGCCGACAAUGUAGCGGGGCUCAAGUACACCGCCGAAACCGUGGCAUUCAAGCUUUUGUUUGGAUGGGUAGGGGAGCGUCGUGCAGACAGCGAAGCCGCGGGGUGACCCAGUGGUGGAGUCUGUACGAGUGAGAAUGCAGGCAUGAGUAGCGAAAGACGGGUGAGAAACCCGUCCGCCGGAUGACCAAGGGUUCCAGGGUCAAGCUAAUCUGCCCUGGGUAAGUCGGGACCUAAGGCGAGGCCGACAGGCGUAGUCGAUGGACAACGGGUUGAUAUUCCCGUACCCGCGAAGAAGCGUCCCUGCCGAACCUCACUGUGCUAACCACGUGAGUUAGUGGCGGACUUCGGUCCAAAUCUAACAAGCCUGGGAUCCUGGUGGGUAGUAGGCAAGCGAUGGGGUGACGCAGGAAGGUAGCUGAGCCCGGUGAGUGGUUGUGCCGGGGUAAGCGUGUAGCCCGCGCCAUAGGCAAAUCCGUGGCGCACGAGGGUGAGGCCUGACGCAUAGCCGAAUGAGGCGAAUGGGAUGAUCCUAUGCUGCCGAGAAAAGCCUCUAGUGAGUUGGUACACGGCCCGUACCCCAAACCGACACAGGUGGUCAGGGUGAGAAUCCCAAGGCGCUUGAGAGAACUCCGGUUAAGGAACUAGGCAAAUUGUAGCCGUACCUUCGGAAGAAGGCUAGCCCUCUGGUGUGUAGUGCACAACGAAGCAUCGGGAGGUCGCAGAGAAAUGGGGGUUGCGACUGUUUACCAAAAACACAGGUCUCUGCCAACCCGCAAGGGGACGUAUAGGGGCUGACACCUGCCCAGUGCCGGAAGGUUAAGAGGAGCGGUCAGGCGCAAGCCGAAGCUGCGAAUUGAAGCCCCGGUGAACGGCGGCCGUAACUAUAACGGUCCUAAGGUAGCGAAAUUCCUUGUCGGGUAAGUUCCGACCCGCACGAAUGGCCUCAUGAGUGGAGCACUGUCUCAACGAAGGACCCGGCGAAAUUGAAGUACGUGUGAAGAUGCGCGUUACCCGCACUAGGACAAAAAGAC